rnacentral:lncRNA from 1 species
AGAAAGUUCUGAUCAGAGGAGCAAAUUCUGCAUUGCCAUUGGAGUAGAGUGAAACCAAUACUGUUAAAUCACUUGGAGGGUUUGUUAAAACAGAACUGAGAGUUCUUGACUCAUUAGGUCUGAGGUAAGACUGUUGAGUGUGUUUUAAUAACAAAUAUUCAGGUGAUGUUGAUGCUAUUGAUUCUGGGGCCACACUUUUAAAAUCAGCAGUGUUCUGGAGUUGGUGUUUGGAGUAAGCAAUCUUGUUGAAGAGAGCGAACAUUGCUCUAAGUUUGGAGAAUGUAGUAAUGAAAAAACCUGGUCACUGAUUUCAAGAAUCUUUAAGUCCAGCGUAAUAGUUGCUAAAAUGAGUUGUUUAUAAGAUAAGGCAUAUAAUCAGAAUGGCUUCUUUUGUUAUUCAGGUUUCAGCCCAAAUUUUACCUUCUACAAGAGGAACCCAUCCCCAUUAACCACCCAAUCUAAAGAAGCCUACUCCCAUCCCUCACAUCCCCAUUUUUUUGACCUAAAAACCUUAUUUUAUUCUGUCAUCUUGUUUGUUCAAAAUUGUGUUUGUUUUCUCAUUUGUAUUUAACUAUGAGAAAGAAGGGGUCUAAUCUCUUUUAUUUAUCAUUGAAUACUGGUCCUCUGAGAUGUUUGGAAAAUAGCUGGUGGUCAGUAUAUAUUUUUUUGAACAAAUGAAUGAAUGGAAGUCUUUUAGUGAAAUCUGCUUAGAUUUCAUAGGGGUGAAAACAUGUGAACCAAGCACCCACAUAGGAGAAAAGCAACUAACUGAAGGUGAGAAAAACACUAAGUGUUAGGACAUGGAGGGGAAAGUGUAAGCGCCUAUGUUAAUGAUCUAGAAGCAGUCUGGCUAUGUUGAGAAAAUCAAAGUGAAGUGGGAACAAAAAUUAGAUCAGCCUUAUGGGAAAAAUGUAUCAACCUCUAACCAAUGGAGAAAAAUCGAAGAAUAAGGAGAAAUAAUCAGUAGACAUCUUAGUGUAGGUACUUUCAGUAACUAUAAAAUUAUUGAAUUAAACUGAAUGUCUGAAUAUAGUAUGCAAAAGCUCACUUUGGUAAAAGUAAAGACAGAAAAGUAAACCUUAUAAUCUGGUGGCAACAUUAGGAAAAUUAAUGACAUAAUAAAUGUGAGUGCUACCUGAUGGAAAAGUCCUAAUAUAAUUUUUAAAAGGUUAUUUUUUCUAUGUAAAUAAUUUCUGCUUAUUAUUUAUUGGUGUUUAUUUAGAAUAUUUAAACUAAAACAUUCACAUGUAAAAAUAUAUAGUUGGUAUUUUUAAUACUUUCCUUCCAUAUUUUUUCUAUGCCUUUUUACAUCUGUAAUCACAUAAAAUUAAAUUUAAGUCUGUGUUUUUAUCUACAUUAUAACAAGGCAUUCUCAUCUUCAAAGUUAUAAUAUGUAAUGACCACAUAAUACUCUAUUGGUUGGUGAUAUCAUACUUAACAUUUUCUUCUUGAAUACUUAUAUUGAUUACUUAGGUUGAAUUGAAUAUAUUCUAUUGUUAGGCAGGUAGACAAUUUCUUGGUUGUGUGUAAUAGAGACACAGAAAGCAGCAGCUGAAAAUAAAUAGAUUUUAUAUCUCUUUCAUUAAAAAGUUUAGACAAAUAAUUGGCUGUAUUCUUGAAAACCAUCAUGGGCUCAGACUCCUUUUGUGUUACUGGUAAACAGUGACCUGGAAUGUUGCCCUCAUGGACCCGAUCCAAAGUGGUCCAUGAUAUUUCGGGAUUACCAUAAGAAGAUAAUAGGUUCUUUAAGAAAUGCUGUACACUUUCAUUCAUUUCCUGUAAGACUUUUUCAUAUAACCACCCUAUUAAGGGAAGUGGAGGAAUGCCUGUUUUUUGAGGUGGGGUGUGAGUGUCAAGUGCCCAGUUAAAUGCUAUUAUAAUGGAAUAAUGACUGAAUGGAGACUGGUAGACAAAUAGCAGUUUCUGCUAUGCAUAGUCAAGUUUCUCAUCCUAACAAGGCCAUUUGUCUAGAGAUACCUUGUGGAAACCAUUGCAUUUUAGGCAUUACAAAACUUGCUUUUAAAGGACACUAUCAUGGUCCAAUUCAUAGUGUAUCUGCUAUUUUCUUAAAGUACUAUGCUUUGAAAUAUUUCAAGAGUUCUCUUGUGGCUCAGCAAAAACAAACCCGACUGGUAGCCAUGAGGAUACAGGUUGACCCCUGGCAUCACUCAGUGGGUUAAGGACCUGGAGUUGCCGUGAGCUGUGGUGUAGAUCCCAACGCAGCUCAGAUCCCACAUUGCUGUGGCUCCAAUUCAACCCCUAGCCUGGGAACUUCCAUAUGUCACAGGUGCAGCCCUAAAAAGUCAUCCCACCCCCCAAAAAUUACUUAAAUAUUUAAUUAAUUCUUGAUUUGUGAAGAGCAUAAUGAGAUACCUAGUAUUUAUGUGAGAACUUCUGAUCUGAAACAUUGUUUAAAUUAUUAUAAGCCAGAAUUGCUUUGAGAUUAGAAGCUACUUUAUUUUUAAAUUUGUAAUAGAAGUAUAUUAAUGUUGUCAACUAGAUUUUUUCUAUCAGAGUAUUUAAUAGGAAAAUAGAUAUUUAGCAAAGUUUCUUCUCUCAUCUAGUAGUUUAAGUACACAUUUAAUUGCCAACUAGUUAAAAUAUAAUUUAAAUUCUUAAAAUUAAUUUUUGGGACUAUAAUUUCUGAAAUAGAUUCUAAAAGAGAAUUUAGUGGAUUGUAUAAAAUAAUAGUACGCAGCCUGUUUUCUGAGGCUUGGUAGAGAAAAAAGAUACAGUUGUGUCUAUCAAGCAUGUUUGCACUAUACUACUUAAAAACUGAGCAAUAACUGCUUUACAAGUAGAAGCCUGUCUAAUUUUUGAGAUAUAAAAGUGGAUCUUGUAUUUUUUUUGACUUCUUUUUUUAAGAGAAGGUUAAGCUUUAUAGUCAAACUGCAAGGGAAGUACAGUGAUUUUCCAUGUAUUCCCUGUCCCCACACAUAGAGGACCCCCCCCCUCCGCCACUAUGGACAUCGCCACCAGAGUGGUACACUUGUUACAGCUGAUGAACCUAUUUUGACUCCUCAUAAUUACCUGUGUCUAUAAUUUUUAUUACAGCUCACUCUUGGUGUUAUGUAGUCUAUGGGUUGGACAAAUGUAUAGUGACAAGUAUUAGUAAAUACAGAAUCAUACAGAGUAUUUUCACUUCCCUAAAAAUCCUCUGUGUUCCACCAAUUCAUUCCUUCCCCACACCAAACCCUUGGUAACCACUGAACUUUUUACUGUACCUAGAGUGUUGCCUUUUCCAGAAUGCCAUGUAGUUGGAAUCACACAGUAUGUCGCCUUUUCAGCUUGGCUUCUUUCACGUAGUAGGAUGCGUUUAAGGACAUGCCAUGUCUUUUUGGAUCCUUCUUUCUUUUUUUUUUUUUUUUUUUUUUUUUUUUUUUUUUUUGUCUUUUGUGUUUUUUAGGGCCACAUCCAUGGCAGGCAGAUGUUCCCAGGUUAGGAAUCUAAUUGGAGCUGUAGCUGCCAGCCUAAACCACAGCCACAGAAAUGCCAGGUCUGAGCCAUGUCUGUGACCUACACCACAGCUCAUGGCCAAACUGGCUCAUAACCAACUGAGUGAGUCCAGGGAUUGAACCCACAACCUCAUGGUUCCUAGUCAAAUUUGUUUCUGCUGUGCCACAACAGGAACUCCUUGGAUCCUACAUUUUUAAACCUUUGUUUUUUUCAGGAUGUUGACCUCUAUAAGCAUGGACAAUACCUGUCAUUUUCCGUAUUCAAAUCUCUGUUGGCCUACCACAAAUUCUCAGUAACAGGUAGCCAAAUCUCCAGUGAAAUAGAGAAAAAAAUAUCUGCAUAUACCAGAAAACAUUUAAGAAUUUUUUGCUGUUGUUAUAACAUGUAAAGAUCUUUUCAAUCAUCUUGAAUUCAGUUGCUGGAUCUAUAGAAGGGGUAUACUAUAUAGGCUGCAGUGGAAGAUGAGAUUUUAUUAGCUAAGAAGAAUUAAUCUUUCUUUUGCUUGGAUAAAUCUACCUUUGAUUUAAAAGAGAAAACAAUUCUUUUAGUCCGUUAUUACAUACUUAGGUAUCACACUGUAUCUGUUUUAUGAAGUUUGUUCUAUAAUAAGAAAAGCCUUGCCACACAUUGUAUACAAAGUUAGUCAUGGCCAUAAUGAUUAAUAUGUGGAGGAGGAAAGUGACAUCAGAAAAAUAAGAAAGAGAACUGACAAUAAAGAAUGUGAAGGGUGGAGAUAGGGAACAAAAUUCAUUCCUUAUUUUUUAAAAAAUUGAUGCUAUUUCACAUAGUUUUAAUUCGGUUUCCAUUUAGGUAUAUAGAGAGAAAUAAUUUGGGAUCUAAUGUGCUAUAUUCACCCCAAUAUUAGUCUUUAUCAUUAUUUACAAAUGUAUUAUUAAAAAUACAAUGUUCAAGGGAGUACCCAUUGUGGCUCAGUGGGUUACAAACCUGACUAGUACCCAUGAGGAUGUGGCUUUGAUCCCCGGCCCUCGCUCAGUGGGUUAAGGAUCUGGUGUUGCUGACAGCUGUGGUGUACUUUGCAGAUGUGACUCGGAUCCCAUGUUGCUGUGCCUGUGGUGUAGGCUGGCAGCUGCAGCUCUGAUUCAACCUCUAGACUGGGAACUUCCAUAUGCUGCAGGUGUGGCCCUAAAAAAAAGCAACAAACAAACAAACAAAUACAAUGUUCAAAAUUAAUUAAUUAAAUUUAAUUUGAGGGAACACUUAGCCAUUGAAAUGUGUUAUUUAUUUAUUUAUUAUUAGUACCUUGCUAGAAUUAGGAAUAGUACUUUAAUAUCAUCAUAAGAUGAGCAUGCUGCCCUGUGAUUAUACAUUACUUGCACUUUCCUCCCCACACCAUCACAAUGGUUACAAUUCAUUCGAUUGCACCUAAAGAGGAAGAUAUGAGAAAGAGGAGGAGGAAGACUAACAGCUUUUUUUGGUAAAUGUUUUCAAGAUCUUAAGCAUAUCACUGUGGUGGAAUGAGGUUCCUCUGAAGCUCUGUAUUAAACUUCCUUCCACCCACUCAAUGGAACAGAGUGUGAGUCCUUACGCCUUUCCUUUCUGACAUAUGACUAACAGCUUAGGGACAUUAUCUCCUGCUCUCCUUUCCACACCUAUUAUAAUAGGUAGUUUGGAGAUUCAAGUUUUUACCUUUAAUUUCUUGCUCAUAGAAUGCCCACCUUUAUUUUGAUUAGCCCUCAAACAAUCUGACAGCUACAAAUUGGUUUUUCUUUCUGAUUUAUAUGUACAGAAAGAGUUAACUUCACCCAAGCAGAAUCACUGUAUUAAAACCUGUAAGGAUGAAGAGAAAAUUAAGAAUUUUAUUUAGAAAAAUUUUAGACAAGCCGAUCAUAAUAGAGCUCUUGAUAUUUUUUAAUUGACUCUCUUAAAGAAGGAUGCUUUUGUGACUUAAAUCUGGAAAUCUGUUGUAGUUUUAUAAAACUUAAUUGUGCAAAUGAAUGUUUGAAAACCUAAUUUUGCAUUUUAAUAGGUUAUUAUUACUAAAUAUUUCUUUAUUAAUAGAUUUUCCAUUUUAAACUCUUCUAUUUAUGGUAUUUAAGUGUUCUUUGACCUCAUUUAAGUAUUGCACUUCAACAGGACUUUUAGAAUUUUUAUGACAUGAAUGUCAUAUUUCCAAAUAGCAUAUUUGUUAAUAAAAGUUGAGAGUAAAUACUGAUGACUCAGAUUGCAAAGCAGCUACUUAGGUGAUGGAUUAGGUUUAAAUGAUAUGUUUUAAAUUUUUGCUAAAGAGUUUCUAUUUUACUCACAAAAUACACUUAGAGAUUAUGAUACAUACUCUAGUGAAACAUUAGCAGAAAAGCACAUUUGAAACCACAAACUCUUCCCAGAUAUGUCACCUAUUCUGGACAUGUGAGAUGAUACUGUCAGAUAAUAGAUUGACUAUGUGGGAGUUCAUCCUUAACUUCGAUGGAUGUGAACUUGAGGAAGACACCCAAAUUUCUGUGUGUUAAUUCCUUCAUUCUUUUAAUAUAUAUGUAGUUUACUCAUCAUUGGUUUUUCUCCUUGCAAAGUGCAGUCUAUGUUACUGUUAUUUUAUCUGAAAUUCCGGACCACUUCUAAACUGUAAGAGUAUAUAAGACACACUAUGUGUGGCACUGCUGUUAACAUGAGCACGAUUUGGACUCAUAUCAUCUCCUGCUUUUUAGUGAAUAUAUUUGCUAACAGUCACAAUGAUAUACAUGCUCAUAUCUCUAAGGUUGUUAAUCCAUAGAAAAUUUAAACUUGUAAUGUUUGGGUAUUUUGUGCAUAUAUUAAUGUGUAUAUGUAUAAUUCUUCAGUAAAUUCUUUCUUACUGUGUAUGACCUAAGGAAUAUCUGACAAAGUUUGAUAUAUAGAUAUUAUCCAUCUUUAUCAUUGGAUAAUAAUCAUUGGUUAUUUAAUGCCACCAAAAUUCUUCUUGAAACUAUUGUAUAAAGGACUAGAUGCAAAUUCUAACAAAAGUCAACCAAUUGCA